rnacentral:rRNA from 1 species
AAACUUUUCAGCUAGAGUAUGAUAGAGGAAAGUAGAAUUUCUAGUGUAGAGGUGAAAUUCGUAGAUAUUAGAAAGAAUACCAAUUGCGAAGGCAGCUUUCUGGAUCAUUACUGACACUGAGGAACGAAAGCAUGGGUAGCGAAGAGGAUUAGAUACCCUCGUAGUCCAUGCCGUAAACGAUGUGUGUUAGACGUUGGAAAUUUAUUUUCAGUGUCGCAGGGAAACCGAUAAACACACCGCCUGGGGAGUACGACCGCAAGGUUAAAACUCAAAUGAAUUGACGGGGACCCGCACAAGUAGUGGAGCAUGUGGUUUAAUUCGAAGAUACGCGCAGAACCUUACCAACACUUGACAUGUUCGUCGCGACUCUAAGAGAUUAGAGUUUUCGGUUCGGCCGGACGAAACACAGGUGCUGCAUGGCUGUCGUCAGCUCGUGUCGUGAGAUGUUGGGUUAAGUCCCGCAACGAGCGCAACCCUCACUUUUAGUUGCCAUCAUUAAGUUGGGCACUCUGAAAGAACUGCCAGUGAUAAGCUGGAGGAAGGUGGGGAUGACGUCAAGUCCUCAUGGCCCUUACGUGUUGGGCUACACACGUGCUACAAUGGUAUCUACAACAGGAAGCAAGACUGCGAAGUUAAGCAAAUCCCUAAAAGAUACCUCAGUUCGGAUUGCACUCUGCAACUCGAGUGCAUGAAGCUGGAAUUACUAGUAAUCGUGGAUCAGCGUGCCACGGUGAAUGCGUUCCCGGGUCUUGUACACACCGCCCGUCACACCAUGGGAGUUGGUUCUACCUUAAGGCAAGGUUUCAAACCCUUGACCACGGUAUAGUCAGCGACUGGGGUGAAGUCGUAACAAGGUAGCCGUA